AUUGAACGCUGGCGGCAGGCCUAACACAUGCAAGUCGAACGAGUGGCGGACGGGUGAGUAAUGUCUGGGAAACUGCCUGAUGGAGGGGUAUAACUACUGGACACGGUAUCUAAUACCGCAUACCAUCGGAUACGCCCAGAUGGGAUUAGCUAGUAGGUGGGGUAACGGCUCACCUAGGCGACGAUCCCUAGCUGGUCUGAGAGGAUGACCAGCCACACUGGGACUGAGACACGGGCCAGACUCCUACGGGAGGCAGCAGUGGGGAAUAUUGCACAAUGGGCGCAAGCCUGAUGCAGCCAUGCCGCGUGUAUGAAGAAGGCCUUCGGAUUGUAAAGCACUUUAAGUUGGGAGGCGUUACCAACAGAAUAAGCACCGGCUAACUUCGUGCCAGCAGCCGCGGUAAUUC
rnacentral:rRNA from 1 species